rnacentral:rRNA from 1 species
GGGCCCGCACAAGCGGAGGAACAUGUGGUUUAAUUCGAUGAUACGCGAGGAACCUUACCCGGGCUCGAACGGUGUUUGAAUGUAUGUGAAAGCAUGCAGCCAGCAAUGGCAGACAUCGAGGUGCUGCAUGGUUGUCGUCAGCUCGUGCCGUGAGGUGUCGGCUUAAGUGCCAUAACGAGCGCAACCCUUAUCGGUAGUUACCAUCAGGUGAAGCUGGGGACUCUACUGAGACUGCCACCGUAAGGUGUGAGGAAGGUGGGGAUGACGUCAAAUCAGCACGGCCCUUACGUCCGGGGCGACACACGUGUUACAAUGGGUGGGACAGAAAGCAGCUACACAGCGAUGUGAUGCGAAUCUCCAAACCCACUCCCAGUUCGGAUCGAAGUCUGCAACCCGACUUCGUGAAGCUGGAUUCGCUAGUAAUCGCGCAUCAGCCAUGGCG